rnacentral:tRNA from 1 species
GGGGAUAUAGCUCAGUUGGUAGAGUGCUUGCCUCCCGUGCAUAAGGUCCUGGGUUCUAUCCCCAGCCCCA